rnacentral:rRNA from 1 species
GACGAACGCUGGCGGCGUGCUUAACACAUGCAAGUCGAACGGAAAGGCCCUGCUUUUGUGGGGUGCUCGAGUGGCGAACGGGUGAGUAACACGUGAGUAACCUGCCCUUGACUUUGGGAGAACUUCAGGAAACUGGGGCUAAUACCGGAUAGGAGCUCCUGCUGCAUGGUGGGGGUUGGAAAGUUUCGGCGGUUGGGGCUGGACUCGCGGCUUAUGAGCUUGUUGGUGGGGUAGUGGCUUACCAAGGCUUUGACGGGUAGCCGGCCUGAGAGGGUGACCGGCCACAUUGGGACUGAGAUACGGCCCAGACGCCUACGGGAGGCAGCGGUGGGGAAUAUUGCACAAUGGGCGGAAGCCUGAUGCAGCGACGCCGCGUGCGGGAUGACGGCCUUCGGGUUGUAAACAGCUUUCGCAUGUGACGAAGCGUGAGUGACGGUAAUGGGUAAAGAAGCACCGGCUAACUACGUG